rfam:Rhodnius prolixus Rhodnius_prolixus-3.0.3-1.214, whole genome shotgun sequence.
CGUCUUUCCCUGCAAGAUAUGUUUGAUAUUCUUGGUUGUUGUUAUUCGACCAAGGAUCAAACAUAUUAUGCAGUGAUUGUACA